rnacentral:rRNA from 13 species
UGAACGCCUCUAAGUCAGAAUCCGUGCCGGAACGCGGCGAUUUCGCCCCGCACGUCGUAGUUGGAUACGAAUAGGCCUUCGGGCCAUGCACCUCAGCAGGCUGGCGACGGCUCUUAGGGAGAAACCCCUGGGAGCUGGCUGGCGGAUUGUAAUGUCACCUCGCGCGGGGAUAGAUCCUCUGCAGACGACUGAAGUGACCAAGCGGGUCGUGUAAGCGGU